rnacentral:misc_RNA from 1 species
UCUCCGUUGGUGAACCAGCGGAGGGAUCAUUACAGGACUCGCAGGACUCCUACAACCCUGUGAACUUAACUAUAAGCACGUUGCUUCGGCGGGUGUCUCGGAGGGGGUUCUCCCUCCCCGAGACGCUAAACCCGCCGGCAGCCUACUAUACUCUGUCUCUUUGCGUUGGCAUCUCGAGUACAAUCAAACAAGUUAAAACUUUCAACAACGGAUCUCUUGGUUCUG